rnacentral:rRNA from 1 species
UACAGAGGGUGCAAGCGUUGUUCGGAAUUAUUGGGCGUAAAGGGCGCGUAGGCGGCUUGGCAAGUGGAAGGUGAAAUCCCUCGGCUUAACCGAGGAACUGCCCUCCAAACUGCUUCGCUUGAGACCGGGAGAGGUGAGUGGAAUUCCCAGUGUAGCGGUGAAAUGCGUAGAUAUUGGGAGGAACACCAGUGGCGAAGGCGGCUCACUGGACCGGUACUGACGCCGAUGCGCGAAAGCGUGGGGAGCAAACGGG